rnacentral:lncRNA from 1 species
GGGGCAAGAUAGCCAACUAGAAGCAGCUGCAAUUCGAGGCUCCCACUGAGAAGAACUAAAACAGUGUGCAAAUCCUGCACCAGCAACUGACAUAUCCAGGUUCUAUGAUCAGGACUGACUAGGUAGUUGGCAUGGCCCAUAGAGAACAAGGAAAGAUGGGCUGGUGGAUUGGCCCACCUGGGAGCCACAUGGGGCAAGGGGAGCCCUCACCCUCAGCCAGCCAAGGGAGGCAGUGAGUGAGCAUGCUACCCAGCCUGGGAAACUGCUUUUUCCAUGGAUCUUUGCAAUCCACAGAUCAGAAGAUCCCACUCAUGAGACCACACCACCAGGGCCUUGGGUGCCAACUACAGAGCCAUGCAGAUUCUCAACAGCCACUCAGCUGGAGUCUGCCUAAAAAGUUGGGGAGGGUUGUCAUCAUCACUGUGGCUGCCUGCUGCCUAAACCCUCUGAGUUCCCUGGGGGAGGGGGAGCAGUCAUCACUGUGGUUGCUGGCUGCCUAAGACAACUGAGCUUCCCAAGAGAGGGGCAGUCAUCAUCACUGCAGCUGCCUGCUGCCUGAGGAAACUGAGCUCCCCAAGAAGGGACAGCAGCCAUCACUGUGGCUGCUAGCUGCCUAAGACACUGAACUCCUGGGGAGGAAGGGCGGCAGCCAUUUCUACAGAGCCAGGCUGCUGUUUUUCCUUUGCUGAUGCCAGGGAGACUGGACGGCUUGGUCCCAAGAGGUAUUCCCCACAGCGCAGCAUACUGGCUGUGGCAGAUCAUGGCCAGACUGCCUCUUUAGGCUGACCCUCACCCAUCCCUCCUCACUGGGUGGGGCAUCCCUGCAGGAACUCCAGCAACUCAAGCCAGGGAAUUAGGGAGAGAACUCUGAUCUCUCUAAGUCUGAGUCCCUAGCAGGAGGGGUGGCUGGCUGUUGUCUCCACAAACCAGAAGACUUAUUCUUUCCCCCUGCUCACUCUGAGGAAUCCAGGCAUCCCAGACGAGUGGGAUUUCCCCCAGCACAGCAUACCCCCUUCACAAAGGGACAACUAAAGUGCUUCAUUAAGCAAGUCCUGGAUCCUGUGCCCCCCAACUGGGUGAGACACCCCAAUGGGUCACCAGACACCUUAUACAAGAGCAUUUCUACUGGCAUCAGGUGGGUGCCCCUCAAGGACAGAGAUCCCAGAGGAAGGAGUGGGGUCUCAUCUUUGCUGUUCUCCAGCACUCUCUGGUGACAUCUUCAGGUGUGGGAGGGACCCAGAUAAGUAGGGCUUGAAGUGAAUCCCCAGCAAACUGCAGCAGCCCUACAGAAGAGGUGCCUGACUGUUCAAAGGAAAACAGAAAGCAACAACAACAUCAACCAAAAAGUCCCCACGAAAACCUCAUCUAAAGGUCAGCAGCCUCAAAGAUCAAAAUGAGACAAACUCAUGAAGAUGAGAAAGGAAUGAAAAACCCCUCACAACUCAAAAGGCCAGAGUGGCUUGUUUACUCCAAAUGAUCACAACACCUCUACAGCAAGGGCACAGUGCUGGGAGGAGGUUGAGAUGGAUGAAUUGACAGAAGUAGGCUUCAGAAGGUGGGUAGUAGCAAACUUCACUGAGCUAAAGGAGCACGUUCUAACCCAACACAUUGGAACGAAUCCCAGAACUUAAAGAUUGGUUCUCUAAAAUAAGACAGACAAAAAUAAAAAAGAAUAAAACGGAAGGAACAAAACCUCCAAUAAGUAUGGGGUUAUGUAUAGAGGCCAAUUCUACAAAUCACUGGCAUCCCUGAAAGGGAGGUGGAGAAAUCAAUGCAUUGGGUUAGAACAUGCUCCUUUAGCUCUGUGAAAUUUGUUAUUACCCACCUUCUGAACCCUACUUCUGUCAGCAAAGAAGCUAAGAACCAUGUUAAAAGGUUACAGAAGAUGCUAACUAGAAUAACCAGUUUAGAGAGGAACAUAAAUGACCGGAGCCAACUAUAAAGCACAUAAGGGGAACUUCGUGAUGCAAACACAAGUAUCAACAGCUGAAUUGAUCAAGCAGAAAAAAGAAUAUCAGAGCUUGAAGACUAUCUUGCCAAAAUAAGGCAGGCAGACAAGAUUAGAGAAAAAAGAAUGAAAAGGAAUGAACAAAACCUCAAAGAACUGUGGAACUAUGUAAAAGACCAAACCUAUGACUGCUUGGACUACCUGAAAGAGACAAGGAGAAUGGAGCCACGUUGGGAAAACACACUUCAAGAUAUCAUCCAGGAGAACUUCCCCAACCUAGCAAGACAGGCCAACAUUCAAAUUCAGGAAAUCCAGAGAACCCCAGUAAGAUACUCCACAAGAAAAUCAACCCUCAAGACACAUAGUCAUCAGAUUCUCCAAGAUCAAAAUGAAGGAAAAAAUGUUAAAGGCAGCCAGAGACAAGGGCAGGUCACCUACAAGGGGAAGCCCGUCAGACUAACCGUGGGCCUCUCAGCAGAAACCCUACAAGCCAGAAGACAGUUGGGUCCAAUGGUCAACAUUCUUAGAGAAAAGAAUUUCUAACCUAGAAUUUCAUAUCUGGCCAAACUAACCUUCAUAAGUGAAGGAGAAAUCCUUCUCAGACAAGCAAAUGCUGAGGGAAUUUAUCACCACCAGGCCUGCCUUGCAAGACCUCCUGAAGGAAGCACUAAAGAUGGAAAGGAAUCAGAAUGAUGCUGGCCUCAUAAAAUGAGUUAGGGAGGAUUUCCUCUUUUUCUAUUGAUUGGAAUAGUUUCAGAAGGAAUGGUACCAGUUCCUCCUUGUACCUCUGGUAGAAUUCGGCUGUGAAUCCAUCUGGUCCUGGACUCUUUUUGGUUUCUCCACAGACACUACCCAAAGCAGUCCUUCACUACAGUGGCAGACAGACCUGAAAAUUUUCAUCUGAAGCAGCAGAGUGAACUGCAGAGUCAGGAGAUAGAAUCUCACUAUGUUGACCAGGCUGGUCUUGAACUCUUGGCACCCAAGCGAUCCUUUUGCCUGGAAUCCCAAAGUGUCAGAUUUACUGAAGAAUAUUUCAUUGUAAUUACUUUUUAUACUUUAUAGGUCAAGAGCUCUGUUUUAAAGACAAAAUUUAUUGAAUAUACUUUUUCAAACAAAGUUUCAUGUUCUAAUCAUUGUCUGAUUUCAGCAUUAAAUGAAACACAGUAAAGAAAGUUGGGCUGAU